rnacentral:sRNA from 1 species
UGACCACCAUGGCAGAUGGCAACAGAGGAUGUCAACAAUUUUUUGGAGAUGAGAAAAUGGAUACUCAGGCUAAAUGACCUACUCAAACGUAAGUCUUCUC